UACAGAGGGUGCAAGCGUUGUUCGGAAUCAUUGGGCGUAAAGGGCGCGUAGGCGGCCUUGUAAGUCGGAUGUGAAAGCCCAGGGCUCAACCUUGGAAGUGCAUCCGAAACUACAGGGCUCGAAUCUCGGAGAGGGUGGUGGAAUUCCCAGUGUAGAGGUGAAAUUCGUAGAUAUUGGGAGGAACACCGGUGGCGAAGGCGACCACCUGGACGAAGAUUGACGCUGAGGCGCGAAAGCGUGGGGAGCAAACAGG
rnacentral:rRNA from 1 species